CCCUUAGACGUUCUGGGCCGCACGCGCGCUACACUGACCAGUGCAACAAGCAUCCGUCCUUGGCCGACAGGCUCGGGCAAUCUUUGAACGCUGGUCGUGAUGGGGAUAGACUUUUGCAAUUUUUGGUCUUCAACGAGGAAUUCCUAGUAAACGCAAGUCAUCAACUUGCAUUGAUUACGUCCCUGCCCUUUGUACACACCGCCCGUCGCACCUACCUAUUGAAUGGUCCGGUGAAGCCUCCGGAUUGGCGCGCACCUCGGUGCCGCCGAGAAGUUGGCUAAACCUUACCAUUUAGAGGAAGGUGAAGUCGUAACA
rnacentral:rRNA from 1 species